GUGCCAGCCGCCGCGGUAAUACCGGCAGCCCGAGUGAUGGCCACUCUUAUUGGGCCUAAAGCGUCCGUAGCCGGCCUCGCAAGUCCGUCGGGAAAUCCACUCGCCCAACGAGUGGGCGUCCGACGGAAACUGCACACCUUGGGACCGGAAGGCUCGAAGGGUACGGCCGGGGUAGGAGUGAAAUCCUGUAAUCCCGUCCGGACCACCGAUGGCGAAAGCACUUCGAGAAAACGGAUCCGACAGUGAGGGACGAAAGCUAAGAUCGCGAACCGGAUUAGAUACCCUGGUAGUCC
rnacentral:rRNA from 1 species